UACUAUAUUUAAGGUGAGAAUGAGCUUUAUAAGUCAUAAAGUAAUAAAAUCAUAUUCUAUCUCUUACAAGAAUAUGGAAGAAAGUAUGAUUAAAAUUGUUAAGUUUGAUUAUGCUAUUAUUAUCUUUAUUUCGCUUUUAGUUGUUGCAAUGGAUGUUGAUGCUGGUCCUAUUCGUAUAUGUUCUUCCGAUGAUGAUUGUAUAGGGUAUUGGUGUCCACUUUCUAUACAACCGCGUUCUACAAAACCUAUAUGUCGUCUAGUUGAAAGUAUUUCGAAGCGAAGUCGAACCCCAGUAGGCUUGUGUACAUGUAUUUGAGGGAUGUUCCCAUAAGAUUCUACUAAUAGUGUUGCCACCCGAUAAUUUGUAUUUUUUUCAUUUUUUAUUUUUACGGACCAUAUAGUCAUAAUUUUAUACUUUAAAAUGAUUGUAAUAAAAGGAAAUUAGCAAUUAGAAAUUAACGUUUAUAUUAUCUUCUUCUUUAUUAA